UUUGUGGAUUGGGGCUAAGAGAGGAAAAGGAUUAUGGGAGGCCAGAGGCGGUCUCAGGCCCUGCCCAGUUUCCUGUCACUCAGCUGAGUCCUCCCUGAGAGGGAAACCAGGCAAACCAGACACAGAAUCACAGCUCAGUGACCCAAACCAGGUGCCAAUUUUCUACUCAGUCCUUUCUUUGCUUCUCAAAUUGCAGCAUUUAAUGAGGUAAAACAUCAGAUUAUGGAGAACUUUUUUUUUUUUUUUUAAUGAGAAUUCAGGGAAGUUUCUAGGUUGGCUGAGAAGUAUGAAAGUAUUUAACCUCUGCUCAGAGAACUGCUCUUUAUUAACAUUUUCCCUUCCACUGUAGCUCGCAAAACUGCACUUUCUCAAACAAGUUCACCAUUUGGCGUUUGGAUCUGGUUAUAGCCAGACGGUGGGUAUCACUGUUACAAAUCAGCCUGGAGCUUGAUUUAAGCACCAGCAGGUUUUUCAGGGAAAACACUUGUGGGAAGAAAGAAGAGCCAAACGGUGCUGUUCUGAGAAGAAGUGGCCACUUGGACAGCAGAGGAUGCGGAGGGUGUUCCCCUCCCCUGUUUUUAACGGCUCAGGGAUUGCAUGGAGGCCCACUCUUUGGGAAGGAUGAUCCAGGAUGUAGUCCAUGAAUCCCACUGAAGAGUGGCUUUUUGAGCAGUGACACAAGGAGGAUUGGUCCGGGACCAUGAAGUCAGCAGCAUUGGUGUGGACCUCGAUGUUUCUGAAGCUGAGGACACACCAAGGACAUAGGGAUCGAACUUGGGUCCUUGCACUUGCGCAGCAGGCAACAAAACCACUGAGCUAAAUCCCCGGCCUCUACAUUCCCUCUUAAAGCAGCUUCACAGAAGAAGUCCUGGAAACACAGAGACCCUGAGAUGACCACGUGGGGAGGAAGCCUGCCAUAGCCACAGACAGAGGCCACAGGGAGGAAUGACCAAGUUUCAGACAUGCAAAUGAAGCCACGAACCUUCCAGCAAGCGUAGCUGCAAGUGAAUUCAACUGAAUGAGUGAUCGUAGCCAAUGAAAAAAAAGAGCAGAAGACUCAUCCAGCUGACCUUACUAAAUCCACACAAUUGUGGGAAAGGAAGGGUAAAACAUGGCACUCUUAAACCACUAAGCUUUGGGGUGAUUUGUUACGCAGCAGUGCAUGAUGGAAACGCAGUAACAUGCUUUUUUCCUGUUAUUCAAUGUUUUAUACAAUUUCUCAGUUCUUUAACCUUAAGAAUCAAAAUAAAAGCAAAAGUAUGUAAAGUAGUCAUAGACUAUUUCAGACAGAUAUUAAAUGAGAAACAGGAAAUCCGAUUACAUUACCUGUCUGCUCUUAACCUCCACUCACUCUGCUCUUAACCUGUCACUCAGAACGGAAGGCCCAUGUGAUCUGUUCUCUUGCCCCUGACUCGGCUCCCACUGUUCAUUGCCUUUGGUGUUCUUUGAAUAUCAUGGGCAUGGUUCACCUUAGGCAUUUGCAUCUGCUGUUCCCUGUGCCUGGAGUGUUCCUUUUAUAGACAAAUUCAUGACAUAAAUUUCUCACCUUCUCUAGCUCUUUAUUCAUUUGUUACUUUAGUAAUGAAGCCUCCCCUAACCUCAUUUAAAAUCACUAAUCUCCCUUUUUCUGACCUGUAUUCCUUGCCUUGCUUUAUGUUUUUCCAUAGUCAUUCCCAUUUAGUGUACUGUUAUUGUUCAUCUUAAGAGUUCUUGCUUGGUUUUUUUUUUUAACUGUUACAGAUCUAGAACUUGAAAGUGUGUGGCAGUUAAGUGAAUGAAUGAAUUUUCUAAUAUGCGAAGUCUCACCUCUCCUGGUUUCAGGCUGAUGUGUGCUAGACAGCCUUCUCUGCUGGCAAGGUACAGCACUGCAGUCCAGCUCUGUUAAACAAGAAGAGGGAAUCACAGUGCGUGCUUAAGAAAACUUCAAGUUUAUGGACUAGAAGUCAACAAGCUUCCUGCAAAUGGCCAGACACAAAAUAUUUUAAGCUAUGUGAGCCCUCUGGUCUCUGCACAAGUAUUCAACUCUGUCCUUGUACCAUGGAGGCAGGUAUCAGCCGUGUGUAAACAAAUGAGUGUGGUGGUAUUCUUGUAUUUGUUAGCAAUGAAAUUUGAAUUUCAUAUAAUUUUAUAUGUCACGAAAUUUCUUUCUUUCUUCAAUUUUUUCCACAACUGAAAAAUGUAAAAACCAGUCUGGGCUUGCAGGCCAUAUAAAAAUAGAUGAAGAACCACAUUUGGCCCACAGGCUGUGGUUUGCUGAACAUUGCUAUUGACAAUCUCCAAGUGACCCAAAGUGUGGGAGAAGAAUUCAAUUUUGAAGGCAAACGACCAUAAGACUGUUCAUUUUUAAAGAAGUAUUAUUCAUAAUAUGACUUCAUGAAUAUUCAUAGUGAUUUCUGCAUUCCAGGCACUUUCAUAGCCAAUGUGCAUGGGUGAGAAAGUAUCAGGCACUGGCCAAGUGAAAAGAAUCAGUCUUUAGGCUCAGAAUGCCAAAUCUAUUAACUAGUUCAUGCUCCCUUCCUCUGAGAGAUGACAGGUGUGGGAAGGAUCUAUGAUACGCCAUCACAGAUAGGGUAACACAGGAAUCGGACUGAUGGGGGUGCUAAAAAGGAAAAGCCCAUGAAUGUAUCCUUUAGAUGGGCCAAUUAGCUCUGAUGGAUCUCUUGGAUGAAGUUUCAAUCCUUGUACCAGAUAGCUAUUAUAUCAGCCAGGGUUCUUCAGAGAAACAGAGCAAAUAGGAUAUAGAUUUAAUUACGAUGAAUUGACUCACAUGAUUAUGGAGGCGGAGAAGUCCCAUGGUCUGCUGUCUGUAAUUUGGAGACUCAACAAAGCCAGUUGUGUAAAUUCCAGUUCAAGUCCAAAGGCCUGAGAAUCAGAAAAGCCAAUGCUAUAACUCCCAGGCCAAGGAUAGAAAACCAAUGUCCCAGCGCUAGCAGUCAGGCAAAGAGCAAACUCAACCUCUCUUCACCUUUCUGUUCUAUUCAGGCUCUCAAAGGACUGGAUGACACCCGCUUACAUUGGAAGGACAUUCUGCUUUACCGAGGCCACCCAUUCUGAUGCUAACCACACAAACACAAAUACACACACACACACACACACACACACACACGCACGCACGCAACUUAACUGUUUGGGCAUCCCAUGGCCCAGUCAAGUUGACACCCUAAAUUAACCACUAAGCCUUCUCAUGUAGGUAGGAAAGCUUUGAAGGACGUGGAUGCUCAAAGGAGAACCAGUUCAAUCCCAGUUUCUUUCUGACCACAGAGUGAGCCACUUCAGGAAUCGAACUACCAGACAAUGUUGAGCUGAGUGUUGUGCUACAUGCCUGUAAUCCCAGCAGGCUUGGAGGUCAAGGAUUCCAAAGCCCAUCUUGGGCGACUUAGUGAGACUGUCUCAAAACAUAGACAGUGCUAGGGAGCAAAGACUCUGGGUUCAAUCCUCUCCACCACCGCUAUCACUGCUACGACCUCCACCACCACCACCACCCAGAUAGUGUUAAUGUCUUUGAAUAUGCUCAUAUCUACCAACUUAGAUACUCAUCUUUUUUUGUGGUGAGAACAUUAAAGAUACAUUCUCUUGGCAAACGUGAUCUUGAUUAUGUAGGAAUUGUGUUAGCUUUUCAUUGCUGUGACAAAAUACCUGAGAAUAACAACUUAAAGAGGAGAGCUUUAUUUCAGCUCAAAGUUCCAGAGAUUUCGGUCCAGUGGCCCCAUUGCUGUGGGCUGUGAGGAGGUUAAAGCUGCUCAUCUUAUGGAGGUCAGCAAGCAGAGAGAGAGAGGGGAAGAACCUGCGAGGGGCCAGGGACAGGACAUAAUCCAUAGUCCCGCAGGUCACACCUCUCAUGAUCCACUCCAUUCAACUAGGUCCCACGUCCUAUUUCCAUCACCUCCCAAUAAUGUCACGAAAUUAUUCUCAUCAGUGGUUUAAUCCACUUGAUGAAGUUAGAACCCUUAUGAUCCAACCGCUUCCCAAAAGCUCAUCACCUGGCAACCAAGCCUUCAACACAAUGAGCCUUUUGGGGACAUUAAAGAUCUCACUCAUAGCAGUAAUUUAUUAUGUCAAUUCCAAAACUAGUAAAAAUCCAUUUAGAAAAACAAACCGAAACAACAACAACAACAACAACAGCAGCAGAGAGUAGGAAAGCUCCCCUGUAUCUUUGGUGCCCUAUCUUUUGCUCUUUAUAUCUGACUUUUUGUUGUGGUGGUGUUUUAAUUUCAGCUCUCCCUUUUAAACUAUAUUUUCCACAUUGGUCAGAUCCUUGAGAGUGAAAGAAAAAGGUACCCUAUAUUCAUGUGUGGAGAUUUCCCCCUUCCCUUCUACUUCUUUUCCUUUCCCUGCCCUCUCAGGAGAAAAAAGCCCCCAAACAGAAAAAUAAACAAAAAUACAGUUCAUCGAAAGAAAAGUGAUAAAAAUAAUACAUGUUUUCACCGUCAAGAAAUUAUCUUUGUUCUGAGUUUCACUCCCCACACAGAAAAAGAAAAGAAAGAAAGAAAUCAUUAAGCUUUUUCUUUCCACAUUUAAAAAAAAAAAAUUACCUUACCAUAUACAACCUUUGGAACUUAAUUUCUCACUUUGUUAAUGUGUCUGACAAAUCUUUCCUUGCU
ensembl:lncRNA